rnacentral:rRNA from 1 species
AGCAGCCGCGGUAAUUCCAGCUCCAAUAGCGUAUAUUAAAGUUGUUGCAGUUAAAAAGCUCGUAGUUGAAUUUCGGGAUCAGUGGGUCGGUCGUGCCACUGGUAUGCACUGGCCCUACUGGUUCCUCCUUCUUGAAGAACUGUAAUGCCAUUAAUUUGGUGUUGCAGGGAAACAGGACUGUUACUUUGAAAAAAUUAGAGUGUUUAAAGCAGGCAAUCGCUUGAAUACAUUAGCAUGGAAUAAUGAAAUAGGACGAUCGAUCCUAUUUUGUUGGUUUCUAGGAUUGACGUAAUGAUUAAUAGGGAUAGUUGGGGGCAUUAGUAUUCAAUUGUCAGAGGUGAAAUUCUUGGAUUUAUUGAAGACUAACUACUGCGAAAGCAUUUGCCAAGGAUGUUUUCAUUAAUCAAGAACGAAAGUUAGGGGAUCGAAGACGAUCAGAUACCGUCGUAGUCUUAACCAUAAACUAUGCCGACUAGGAUCGGAUGAUGUUAAUUUUUAAUGACUCAUUCGGCGCUUAAC